UGAGGAAUACAUCGGAAUCUACUUUUUCGUGGGGGAUAACGUAGGGAAACUUACGCUAAUACCGCAAACGACCUACGGGUGAAAGCAGGGGACCUUCGGGCCUUGCGCGAUUGAAUGAGCCGAUGUCGGAUUAGCUAGUUGGCGGGGUAAAGGCCCACCAAGGCGACGAUCCGUAGCUGGUCUGAGAGGAUGAUCAGCCACACUGGAACUGAGACACGGUCCAGACUCCUACGGGAGGCAGCAGUGGGGAAUAUUGGACAAUGGGCGCAAGCCUGAUCCAGCCAUACCGCGUGGGUGAAGAAGGCCUUCGGGUUGUAAAGCCCUUUUGUUGGGAAAGAAAUCCAGCCGGCUAAUACCUGGUUGGGAUGACGGUACCCAAAGAAUAAGCACCGGCUAACUUCGUGCCAGCAGCCGC
rnacentral:rRNA from 1 species